rnacentral:rRNA from 1 species
GGAUCAAUGCGUCGGUCGUGCCUUCGGUACGUACUGGCGUCAUUGAUUCCUCCCUUCUGACGAACCGUGAUGUCAUUAAUUUGGUGUUACGGGGAAUCAGGACUGUUACCUUGAAAAAAUUAGAGUGUUUAAAGCAGGCUAACGCUUGAAUACAUUAGCAUGGAAUAAUGAAAUAGGACGUUCGAACCUAUUUUGUUGGUUUCUAGGAUCGACGUAAUGAUUAAUAGGGAUAGUUGGGC